AGAGUUUGAUCAUGGCUCAGAUUGAACGCUGGCGGCAGGCCUAACACAUGCAAG
rnacentral:rRNA from 1 species